GUGCGCUUCAGCGGCACGUAUACAAAAAUCGAAACAACACAGGGAAGAUUAGCCUGGCCUCUGCACAAGGAUGACACGCAAAAAACAGUAUGUACAGCAUGAUCCC